rnacentral:rRNA from 1 species
UCCCUACGGGAGGCAGCAGUGGGGAAUAUUGCACAAUGGGGGAAACCCUGAUGCAGCGACGCCGCGUGAGUGAUGAAGUAUUUCGGUAUGUAAAGCUCUAUCAGCAGGGAGGAUAAUGACGGUACCUGACUAAGAAGCUCCGGCUAAAUACGUGCCAGCAGCCGCGGUAAUACGUAGGGAGCAAGCGUUAUCCGGAUUUACUGGGUGUAAAGGGCGUGUAGGCGGGCAUGCAAGCCAGAAGUGAAAUCUGGGGGCUUAACCCCCAAACUGCUUUUGGAACUGCGUGUCUUGAGUGAUGGAGAGGC